rnacentral:tRNA from 1 species
GGGGAUAGCUCAGUGGUAGAGCACAUGCCCAGCGUGUGUGAGGUCCUGGGUUCAACCCCCAGUACCUCCU